UGGAAAUUUGUUCUUUGUAAACAAGAGGGAAGCAUAGUUUCCUGAGAAUAUCGUGCUGUAGCUGCCACAGGCAGUCCAAGCAUGGAAGUGUUCUAUUUUGAGGCCAGCCUAGAAGAAUCUGACUUCCACAACUCAGAGUGCAUAAGAUACUUAUGACAGUGAUCGUCCAUCACCAUCUCCCUGAUAUCAUCAGAGUGGCUUGUUCCAUACAUUUUUCCCCGCAGUAUUCCUCCUUUUGACGUGGUCUUCAACCCAAG